AUCUAAUCAUCGUUCCUUCUGCUUCAGCACUCAGUUCGUCGUUCCUUCUCGAUCUCGUUUAGUUUGUGAUUGCGGUUCCACUCCCACGCCGACUCGUCUCUAGGGCUGGGCCCAUGACCCGCAACCCGCCAACCCAAACCGAACAACCCUGUGAAACCCUAUUCUGAUAAAUCUGCGUUGAAGAGUGAAGACCAUUAUUUAUCUCACAGCUUCAAAACCUAGCCUCCCUUGUCUCUCCCAUGAAAUUGGUGGCCAAUUAAUCUGAAAGACACCCAUUUUUCCUGCUCCUUCAAGGUAAUCCCCUAAGUUUCUCAUAUUUUGAAAAUAAUUUACUCGAUUUUUACUCCAAUAUUCUUCCUAUUUUGAUAUUUAAAAAAAAAAUUAAAUUAAAUUUGUCAUUAAGUUGUACUCAAAUUCAAUUCUAAUAAUGGUAUGCAAUUUGCUCAGGAAUUGCCUUUUCUUCCAUCACAAUGUCAUCACCGCCGAAACCAGAAUUGGGGGUGGGGUGUUCCUGCUGAAGGGCAAUAAGUUGCUGCUGGGCCACGGCACCUCCGUUGGUCGCAACACCUUAUUUUAAUUUUCCUUUCCAAAGCACGUGGCUUGAGUUUGAUUAGUGUAAAAUACUAUAAUAUAUGUUUCUAGCAUUGCCAGAACCUUAUGUGAAAUGCUAUUAAAGAUGUAAAUGGCUGUCAAAACUUAGAAUUUCGUCUGUAAAGACCGAAAAUAGCGGUUGGUAUUGGUUUGAGAAAUUUUAGGACAUUAUCAGAGCCUAACGUUCCAAACUUUGGCUCAGCCUAGGUAAUGAUAAUAAUGAAUAAAAUCACUUGUAUAAUGUUUAUGCACAACUUGAUUGACAAUAGGUGUGUUGAAAAAAU
rnacentral:lncRNA from 1 species